GGCGGCGGCGUGGUGCUGACGCGGGAAGGAGGCACGGGGCGGCACGUCAUCCAAGGUAGUACAAAUUUAUCUGUUCUAAAUUGUUUUGCUGUGUGAUAUGUGUGGAUUAGAGGAACGUCCUCUAAUUGAUCGAUGUGCCUGACGCUGGAGAUCCAAAGGGUAUGGUUUUGUCAAGUUCUCUUCGGAAAGCGAAGCAGCCACGGCGUUGGAGAAAAUGAGUGGUGAGGUGCUUGAUGGAAGGAAUAUAUGGGUGCAUUAUGCCUGAUGUUUCUGCUGCUUCUCCUGCUGCUAUAGAUGUGUAAGGCACUUAUUCGGAAUAUGUAAUGUUAGAUGUACGCAUGGAGCCUUGAACAUGUACUAUGUAUACCUGCAGAGAGAUUUAUGGUAACAACAGAGUAAUUUAUUUGGAAGCAAUUGUUACUGAGGUAGAGUCUUUCUGGGUAGUUUGCCGCAAGUAUUAAACUUAUGAUUUUAGUUUGAGAUACAACCAGAAAUCUGAAACCAAUACUUCUUCUCAGACAAUCUAGAUGUGUUAUAAAAUUUAUUUUGGAAAGCUUGUACAGAAGGUUAACAAUAUGCCUUCUACUUUCGGAUAUUGUGGUGUUAAAUGACCACUUCAUAAAUCAUAAUCUGAGGUGGUGUUCAUUCAACCAAAGGCAAAGAAUAUUAUUACAAAAAACGGUGUGAGCAAGCAAAUUCACUUCAUACCAAAACUUGAUAAGCCAUGUGGGUGACACUAGGAGACGUUGUACUGCUCGAUAGCCUGCCACAGUCCACAGGCAUAGAGCCAAAGUUGUGAGUGGGCGGUCUUUGGUCUAAGGUUUUUUAAAUGCAUCAAAAUUUAUGUUUGUUUGUAACCUGAAUCUUGCAGAUGGUUUCUGGGCUGUAGCUACAAAAAACAAUUCAUCGUACGGCGGUAACACAAUAAGGUUCAGUUGUGCGUUCAUAUUAAUUAAAAAAAAUGUACAUAUGAACCGACUGCAUCAGUUGUUUUGCUUCUCCUAUUCCCUUGAAAGGAUUGCUUGAUGGAAAGAUGUUUUUGCUUUUGCAGCCUUAUUUCUUAUGUAAUUUUUGCAGUGGUGCUUAUGUACAGUUGAUGAAUGAAAGGUAUGACCAAGUAGGCUGAUGUCAAAAGCUUUACAGAUCAGGGCAUAAUUGAUACUGAUUUCAUAUCUUGAAGUUUUUUUAUUCCUGUAACGAAAAUAUUGCUAAUGCUUUGAGUACCCCCCCUGGUUGUAGAGCAAGGGCUCGCUUCCUUAUAUUUUCAAUGCAUACUUUGAAUUUUUACCUUUUCCUCUUUGGGUUGCCCUUAAUGAUCACCGCUAAGUUUGCUUUGCAUUUUGCGAAAGCACAUGAAAAUGCAGGUUUUGCUUGAUGAAUUGGUUAACUUAGCACCCAUGCACUCGAGCUGAAAGGAAGUAGCCUUGUAAGGACCCAAGCCAUGCAAGAUACAAAUAAUUGUUGACUUGGCAUUAUCUCUUUCUUCAUGGUGUUUCGAUUGUGCAAUUGUGUUGUUAAUUUGGUUUAACAGCUUCAAAGGGCACUGAGAAUGAACUUUGAAUUCUACAAAAAUCACUGCUACCUUGCGACCAUAAUUUACCUUCAGAGCUCAGGAGGUGGCGUCAUCACCGUUCCUGCCGCCCUCCGGCUGGGCCGUCGAGGACCUCCUACAGUUCUCCUACAUGCACCAUCGAGGGCACUGAAGGUCUAUCACAAAUCAAUCAGGUGAACCUUUAAUUCAAUCGGUGGUAUUCUUUGGUUUGCAUGACUAAUACUGCACCUUUGGUACUUGGUGGUGGAUCUGAACUUUUUGAUCUGCAAUUUCAUCUACUAACCAAUCUUCCUCUGAUACAUAGUACUAGAAACAUUUUUUGGGACAGGAAGAAAUUGCUAUUCCGGAGUUUACUUAAUCAUUUGAAAAUUCCUUUGGGAAAUACAAGUGAACUGGAGCCUGAAACUUAUUCUCAUAUAUAGAUAUAGGAGGAAAUGGGACUGAUGUAAGAAUGUGUUUGUUUAGACCUGUAUACUUACGAGGAGGUUCAUAUUUAGACCAAGAUUAGAAUUUGACUACAUGCCUAAGUUUGGCUGGUUGAGAAAUUAGAAUUCAUUGUCCCUCAUAAAGUUUAUGUUUAGUGGGUGCACGCGCAUUAGAGAUUAAAUAUGAACCGUGGGGCUUCCAGCAAUCUAGAAUUGUAGUGUUCGGAUUAUCUUAGGUUGCCGAUUACUGUACUGAAAAUGUGUAAUUAGAUAUGACAUGUACAUAAGAAUUGUGCAGCAAUCUUGUCUUACAAAGUAGGAUCAAGAGGGAUACUAAAGAAAUGAAGAUGCAGAGUCUCUGUUUCCUAGGAUUACUUCUCAUGUUCAUGUCGGCUUCCUUGGCUUUACUUCAUACCACCAGAUGCAUUAAACUGGACCGUAUCAAGAGGUAAGGCUACCCCCUUGAUUAGAAUUGCCUUAUUUGUGCUAUUUGGUCAGUGUGUGUUUUAUGUAUGAUGAUGUCACGUAGCCUGGAAUAAAGUUGGGUUGUGCCUGCCUAGGCACUAGCUCCAGUGAUAUAGGUUGGAAAUCAGAAUAUAUGCUUGAUUCUUAGAGAAAACUUUACACGCAGACUUCGUGGGCUCAUGUGUUGUUUCAACAUAAUUGCAUAGCAAUCCAGUGAAUUAUGUAAGAUUCAGUAGGAGGUAUUGUAGAUGUACUACUAUUUCAGUUGCAUGAUUCUAUACAUCUAAAAAGGGUAUAGAGAUUCUGUAACUAUUAUUAGAGAAUAUAUCUCGCUGCUGCUCUGUAAAUGUGUGUAAUCUCUACUGCGUUCCAAUAAAGAGAAUUUUACCAUGCAGAGGGAUCCAAUGAAGAAACUAAUCCUGCUGAGUUCCAAUAAAUAAAUCCUUCGGAGGAUCUGCUCUAAUACAGCUGUCGUGUAUUGGAACAGAGAAAUCAUAUAAACUAGAUUCAGUCGGAUUUAUUUUAUUUCAUGACAGAGAAAUCAUAUACCUUUUGCUAUUUUGGCACAUACAUUUAUUCUUAUUUACUUGUGCAGUUUGGAAUGAUCCAACAUAUCUGAAGUUAUCAAACAAGAAUACUUACUAUUUAAGGCCUUAUUUGCAGGUUAUUUGCACCGCCUCUCUUUCUUUGUAUACACGUCUCUUUCCUCCAACAAUAAUAGUGAACAACUUUUUUCGGAUCAGGUAUUACAUUGCUACAAAUAUAUGCGAAAGCUACUCCUUACAACAAGGAAAAAGAGGAUGAAUGCUUUCUAUCUUCACCAGUUUUGUAGCAUGUUCCAAAUUGUUAUCUCUUUCCUAUGGAAAUUCUGAAACUAAAUGAGUUGGCCUAGAAUUAUGAAUCUGUGUUCAAGCUUGCUUAUGACAUAAGCAUUAUGUUUAUUUUUGAACGGGUAAUAUCCUUUUUGACA